AGAGAGAGAGGUGAUCGGAGGAUUGGGGGCUCAGUGAACAGAACAAAGCGAUGGAGAGAUGCUCCAUCUCUCCUGUCAAACGACUGAUCACCCUCCGCUGCCUUUUCUUCCUCCUGGUUGCCGUGGUGACGCGACCCUCAACCUGUAACCGUGACGAUGAGGGCGAGGGGCAGGUGGAGGCCCUCUCGGCCCAGCUGUCCGUCCCAGAACAGGUCACACCCACCCCUAUUUGGUCCGUGGACUGGGGCCCCACACUAUCCCUGGAGGACGAGACGCAUCACAUCCUGUCCAGCCAGGAAGCGGAUCUGCACCACCACGGCCAUGAAGUCCCCACGACAACCGCCGAGGCCUGGCCGCAUCAUCAGAGUGCACCGGGCAGUGCUUUGCCCCAGGAGCCCCUGGACCUUCUGGAGGCCCCAGAUGCAGAGGGAGUGGAGGAUGGAGGAAGUGAGCCGGAGGAGAGAGAGCCUGAGGAAGUGGACCCUCAGUUCUACGUCACAGUGACCAUCUCCUCUCUGCUCAUCCUGACUGCUGUCAUCAUAACGGUCAAACUCUGGAUUCCCGUGGUGAACCUCUAAGGCGAACGUUUCUGAUUUGAUACACAUUCCUACGGGAUGCGAUGGGAUGCGACGGAGAACACUGCCAGAGGGUGUGGCCCGCCGUGGUCUUCGACUUAUCUUUGACUGUGAAAAUGAAAAUCAGGGACCCAGGUAUCCAGCCAUGGCAAAACCUCUUUUUCCCUCCAUCCCUUCCUCCCGAAGGAGAAAAGCCCGAUCUCAUCCCUUCCUCCCGAGGGAGAAAAGCCCGAUCUCAUCCCUUCCUCCCGAGGGAGAAAAGCCCGAUCUCAUCCCUUCCUCCCGAGGGAGAAAAGCCCGAUCUCAUCCCUUCCUUCCUUCCUGCUGCCAUCCUCCUACGCCUCUUUUCUCCACUUUUCUAUGGAUCUGUGUCACUGUAGACUGACCAAACCUUCUGCUCUGUUUUAUAUUCCAGUUGUCUGUACUGCCCCAGGCUGUAGCAGCAACAUACGUACAGGUCCCUCCGCUUGAUCCGCUUUGACUAAUUCACAAGCAAACAGUGUUAGAUAUCAAUAGAACAUUUUAGUCCCGCCGGUGCCAAAACCGCAUAGCUAUAUGGGGCUGUUUGGAAUAUUUCAUACAGCUAUCUUGUGUAGCUGAACAUUAAACUAUGAUGAAAUAGUGGACUUGGUUAUUGAAACUUAGUUGAAAGUGCAAUAUGUGUGUUAUCUGAAACAUAGGUGUUCAGCUAGCUGGUGAAUGGUUAAAACAAUCCCUGUUUCCUAGGACUGAAGGGGGUAUUUCACAAAGCUGGUAUGGCAAUGUUGUCGCCAGCCGCCAAUGUACUUAACGCGACAUGGUCCAAAAAUCGCUGUUUACUCCCGCUUUGGAAUGCAAAUAGGCCCACUGCAGAUUCCACAUUCCCAAUGUGUUUUCUGGGUGUUUUUUACUCCGUAAACUAUAUUCUUUGUUUGUUCCUUUUAUUUUCUUGCCUCUUUGCCGCCUCUGUUGUGCAUUUGUGAGUGUGUUAUCUUGUCUCUGGAGCAUGGGGAUGGGCAGGGUUUAUAUAUUACUACUCUAUAUAGGGUUGGGAAAUUCUUUCUUUUUCACAAAAUUCCCAGGUUUUCCAGACAUCCCGGUUGGAAGAUUCCUGGAAUUAGGAGGGAAGGAAAUACAGGAAUUUUCCAACUGGGAUUUCUGGAAAACCAUGGAAUUUGGGGGGGGGAAACGUUAUCCUUGUUGUGUAUGAAAAUAGUGGUGCAAACAAUGUACAAUACAUGUUUGCAUAUAUCGCAAUCAGUACAAUCAAACGAUACAUGUGGUACAAUCAAUGUGGUGUCAGGUAAACAUAAUGGGUAUAAAUGAUACAGUCCAGAAGUAAUGAGCCAUUUUACCAUCAUCUGUUGUUUCUGCUCCGACUUCAAAGCUUAAACGAGUGUUUACUGUCGGAUCUUAGGGUAAUGUACCUGUCCAACUCGACCACCAGCUUUGAGAAAUGACCCUCUGGACUUCCACUACACUAGUACACAUAGUGUUGUAACGUCAUAGGUGACUUGUGUCGUUCUGCAUUCUAGUGUUUCCUCGGUUCUCAGUAGCAUUCCUGUAGACGUGUGGCUCCACUGUACGAUGGAACAACAAUAAAAACUCAACACUG
ensembl:lncRNA